UCUAGCUCCAUCAUAGAUUUAGGUACGAUAUCCAGUUAAAUAUGAUUUGAGACGUAUCAAAAGCCAGGCCUGCCCCCUCUAAUACCGCUUCAUCUGCCAACCUUGGCAUUAUCCUCUCCUUCUGCCUAACACAAGAAGUUAAAGUAAUUCUGCUGCACUAGGUCAGGUGGGCACCUGUGUAUCAGCUUAACCAAGACUGUAUGGAAAUGUACACUGCCUGCAAAAAAGGAGAUGAGUUAUCGAUGGCUGCUUUGAUGACCCUGUCUAAGCACGUAUCAGUUCAUCACUUGAGGCUUGUUGAACGUUGCACAGAGCCUGGCUGUGAAGACAAGAUGAUGGUCAGAUAAAUUGCAGUGCAGAGUAGCCUAGGAGUAGCACACCACAAGAUGGCGCUAGACUGGCGAGAACAGACAGUAAAAAGCCUCAGAGAAUUGAAGGAAGUAUUUUUAGUCCAUUUUGGAAGGAGGUUGCCAAGAAACAAACAUAUUUUCUUGGGAAGACACGUAUCUUUUGAUCCAGUAAGUCUGAGUCUGAAUAUUAGACUCUACUAGAAAUCAGUUGUGUGACUUUAAGCAAGGUACUCAAGCUCUGAGAGCCCUGUCUGUGAAGUGUAAGAGAUGAUGUUUGCAUCGUUGGUUGUUGGUAGUUUUAACUGAGAUGAAGUUCGGAAGGUACCUAGCACAGAGGAGGUGGCAUUCAGGCUGUGAUGCACGAUUCCACAGGGCAGCAUUCUCAGUGUGGAUGACACUGGAAGCUGUGGAACGUGGAGGCCCUAGGCAGUCAGUUAAGAUGACUGUUAUUAUUGCUGCCUUCUUCUUUUGCCCAAAGGCAGUUCCAGCCAGUCAUGUAUUGGAAUAGCACAGGAAAAUUAAUUCUCUGCUCUUUCUGUUUUACUUCUUGUUACUUUACAGCCUUAUACACAGUGUGAUGCGUGUGAAAAGGGCCUAAACUGAUAGAAGAGUGUUCCUGGUCAAAGCCCCAUUAUUCUUUAACUAAUUUGGGAAAGUGAAUCAAUUAAGAAUUUGGUCCCCAGUUUCUUCAGCUGUGAAAAGAGAGAGUUGGACCAGAUAAUCUGUAACACUCUUUCCCCAAUUCUUUGGUUUACAGGCUGGGUCCCGUUCAGUCCUUUCAUCCUGGUACAGUUGCCCAUAGAGAAGAAAUCUUGUUCUUAAGAUGGCAAUGAAAUUCUUUGAACAUGAGUUCCCAGAGAAUAGGAGAAAUGGGCCAGACUUCUCCUACAAGAAUUGAGCAGUUGCUCAAAGACGUUGGUGAUUGCGCUGGGGCUCUGUCCAGCUGAACGUCACUCCAUUCCCAUCUCCCUGGCAGUUACCCACAGUAACGAAUGCAGACUGAGAACACACUUCAAAGGAAAGCCAUCACAUCUACUCCCACUUUCUUAGCAGGUUUUCUAAAUCUUCAGAGGCUGGGAACAAAAUGUUUCUGUUAGUAGAAAAUGACAACUGUAAAUAUGAAGGGAGAAGAACCACGCGAUCAGCAAUGAGGCAUGGUAAAGCAACCAUAGGGCAGCUUUUAUCCCAAUGUAGAAACGCUUUGAAGAGAAACAGAGUUCAAGUGAAAUCUGUUAACCCAACACUGUGAGUGGGUUUCAAUGGAAGAGAAAAAACCCUGAGGCAAAAGAACUCUCAGUGGGAUCCCAUAAAAGGCUGAAGUGGGGAGACGUCUGCCUUGAGUUGGUCCUCAGCAGAACGGCAUUCUGGGGCAGUGAUGUUAACAUGCAGAAAUAAGAAGAACGGAGCACUUCAUCUUGUUGAGGAGAAUCAAUCUAUGUAGGCUUGUAGGACUGUGUCCUGUGGAUUAUUGGACUAGGAGCUGUGCCAGGUGCACUCAGAAAAAUUGGGGUCUUCUGAAUAAAGACAUUUCAGAUAAAGAAACAGAAAAAGAAAGAAGUAAAAUGACAUUUCCCACAUCACUCUGUUGGCAUGUUACAGGCCAAAGGUUUGAAGUCAUAUUAAUGUGAUCCUUUUAUUUUAUAUUUUUACAUGUAUGUAUUUUUAUUUCAUUUGCAUUUGCUAGUAAUUUUUUAAAUCCGUGUUGAAAAUGUUUAGAACCACAGUUGUAAUAAGAAGAUCCUAGUGUUUUUGUCUGAGACAGAACCUAAUAAAACUGUUUAAAAGCUGGGAUUUCUUGUAAAACGGAUGGCCAGUGGGAAGCAGCCCCAUGGCACAGGGAGAUCAGCUCGGUGCUUUG